UACGAAGGGGGGCUAGCGUUGCUCGAAGAUCACUGGGCGUAAAGGGUGCGUAGGCGGGUCUUUAAGUCAGGGGUGAAAUCCUGGAGCUCAACUCCAGAACUGCCUUUGAUACUGAAGAUCUUGAGUUCGGGAGAGGUGAGUGGAACUGCGAGUGUAGAGGUGAAAUUCGUAGAUAUUCGCAAGAACACCAGUGGCGAAGGCGGCUCACUGGCCCGAUACUGACGCUGAGGCACGAAAGCGUGGGGAGCAAACAGG
rnacentral:rRNA from 1 species